rnacentral:other from 1 species
UUUUCAACCUACCCCUAACCAGGAUGGUCGUUGAAAC